GACGAACGCUGGCGGCGUGCUUAACACAUGCAAGUCGAACGAAGUGGCGAACGGGUGAGUAAUACGUGGGUAACCUGCCCUCCUUUUUGGGAUAAGCCUUGGAAACGGGGUCUAAUACCGAAUAAAGGGGGGUGGGCUCGCGGCCUAUCAGCUUGUUGGUGGGGUGAUGGCCUACCAAGGCGGUGACGGGUAGCCGGCCUGAGAGGGUGACCGGCAACAUUGAGACGGGGAUGCGUCCCAGGGGAGGACGGGAGGCAGAAGUGGGGGAUAUGGCACAAAGGGCGAAGGACUGAUGCAGCGACGCCGCGUGGGGGAUGAGGGCUUUAGGGUUGUAAAACUCGUUCGCAAUGGGACGGGUAGGUGGAGAAGAAGCGCCGGCUAACUACGUGCCAGCAGCCGCGGUAAUAC
rnacentral:rRNA from 1 species